AAGAAAGCUGAGGACGGAAGGCGAGCCGUGCUAGGUACGCCGGCCAACACACACAAUACACAAAAGAAGCGUGAUGUGCCGGCCAACCUCGCGUGUAGGACUGAGCAGUAGCUUGUUAGUAGUACAAAUCUCCCCGAAGAGGAAGUAUUCCUGAGGGUAAUUACACUACUGCCUAAGAUGACAAGCCUGAAUGUUUCUACGUACAUAAUUUAGCAUCUUCAGGUUCAGGCUUAUAAUCUUUCUUUAGGCCAACUCCACCGCACGCAUCCUAUCAUGUCCGUCCCGGUCCGUUUGGGGUAAAAGGGACAAAGGAGGAGGCCCAGCGCGCGGACGCAAACGGACUAUUGUUCGUUUUGUGUCCGUUUUCGACCCAUCCGCGGCCCAAGUUUGCGCUGCUUUUGGGGUGAAACGGACACCAAGCGGACGCGCGGGUCGUCUGCGCCUGUCCUCCCCUGGCCCGCUCGUCGGUGGCACAGGACGGGCCUUUUUCUAUCCGCCCCCUCCUCCCUCUGGCCGCAUCCACUCCACUCUUCCACACUCUUCCCCUCUCUCUCCCCCUCGCCGCCGCCGGCCGCCCGCUGCCGUUGCAGCCGUGCACCUCGGACGCGCGCUUGCCCAGCCCGUUCCUCUCGUCGCCGCCGAGCUACCCAAGCACGGCCACCUUGUUUGCGCACCCGCCGGCCGGAUUUGGGGCGGAUCCGGUCGGUCUUGAGCUCGCCCGGCUGUGGGAGGCCGGACCGCGCCAUGGACUGGCCGGGCACCUUGCCGGAAGGCCCUGGCAGGGCCGCAAGGCCACAUGCAGGCAGUGGCUCGUCCUCUAGCCGCUCGGAUCUGCACCGCCCGUGGUCCGCCGGCAGAUACGUGAAUGGCGGCCGGCCGGGCUCGGUGCUUGCCCAAAAGCUCGUCGACGCACCGUUGCCCCUCAUCAAAUGCGACCACUGCCCAAGGGUGGUCGUGCGCCGCGUGUCUACAACGCCGGAGCAUCCCGGGUGGGUGUUCAUCAAGUGCUUAAACGAUGGGACCGGAUGCAAGUUUUGGUAUUAGGAAGAAGAGUACAUCGAUCUGUUGAUCGAGCGAAAUGUAGUGCAUGUUCGUGCACUUUUAGCUAGCUUAGAAGCUUUAGAUGAGACAAGUGCAUUUGUUGCUAGAUUAGAGUCUAGGCACGAUACUACGUGCGAAGAAGCAACAAGGCACGAUACUACGUGUGAGGAAGCAACGUCGACUUCUGGCUUGAAGAAGAAAGGAGGGGGCAACGUCGUGCCUCCUCCACAGAUCAACAAUGAGUGCGUCGAGAAGGCGCUAACUCAACUCAAGGGAGCAGUUAUGGAAGUCGGGUAUCUUCUCAAAUGUAUUCUUAUGGUUCUUGUUUUCUUUGGCCUUAUUUUACUAGUCAAAAUGUGAUGAUGUAUUGUUAUGUACCGAAAAUGAAUGAUAAAAAAAAUUGAAGGACUUGC
rnacentral:rRNA from 1 species